UCUCAAUGAUGAUUAAUUCAUGAUGACGAGUCUGAUUAUCCAUUCUUAAAUCAUGACGACAUAUCGAGGCAUUUGUCUGAGAGAA